ACCACUUCGGUGGGGAUUAAUGGCGAACGGGUGAGUAACACGUGGGCAAUCUGCCCUGCACUCUGGGACAAGCCCUGGAAACGGGGUCUAAUACCGGAUAUGAGCCUGGGAGGCAUCUCCCGGGUUGUAAAGCUCCGGCGGUGCACGAUGAGCCCGCGGCCUAUCAGCUUGUUGGUGAGGUAUUGGCUCACCAAGGCGACGACGGGUAGCCGGCCUGAGAGGGCGACCGGCCACACUGGGACUGAGACACGGCCCAUACUCCUACGGGAGGAAUCAGUGGGGAAUAUUGCACAAUGGGCGAAAGCCUGAUGCAGCGACUCCGCGUGAGGGAUGACGGCCUUCGGGUUGUAAACCUCUUUCAGCAGGGAAGAAGCGAAAGUGACGGUACCUGCAGAAAAAGCGCCGGCUAACUACGUGCCAGCAGCCGCGGUAAUACGUAGGGCGCAAGCGUUGUCCGGAAUUAUUGGGCGUAAAGAGCUCGUAGGCGGCUUGUCACGUCGAUUGUGAAAGCCCGAGGCUUAACCUCGGGUCUGCAAUCUAUACGGGCUAGCUAGAGUGUGGUAGGGGAGAUCGGAAUUCCUGGUGUAGCGGUGAAAUGAGCAGAUAUCAAGAGGAACACCGGUGGCGAAAGCGGAUCUCUGGGCCAUUACUGACGCUGACGAGC
rnacentral:rRNA from 1 species